rnacentral:rRNA from 1 species
GAUGAACGCUGGCGGCGUGCCUAAUACAUGCAAGUCGAGCGAACGGACGAGAAGCUUGCUUUUCUGAUGUUAGCGGCGGACGGGUGAGUAACACGUGGAUAACCUACCUAUAAGACUGGGAUAACUUCGGGAAACCGAAGCUAAUACCGGAUAAUAUUUUGAACCGCAUGGUUCAAAAGUGAAAGACGGUCUUGCUGUCACUUAUAGAUGGAUCCGCGCUGCAUUAGCUAGUUGGUAAGGUAACGGCUUACCAAGGCAACGAUGCAUAGCCGACCUGAGAGGGUGAUCGGCCACACUGGAACUGAGACACGGUCCAGACUCCUACGGGAGGCAGCAGUAGGGAAUCUUCCGCAAUGGGCGAAAGCCUGACGGAGCCACGCCGCGUGAGUGAUGAAGGUCUUCGGAUCGUAAAACUCUGUUAUUAGGGAAGAACAUAUGUGUAAGUAACUGUGCACAUCUUGACGGUACCUAAUCAGAAAGCCACGGCUAACUACGUG